CAGUGAUAACAGUACAGUGUGUACAUCUGAGGUUCUUCUGGUCGGUAAAAUGUUUCCCACAAUGAGAGCAGGGGUAGACUUCCUUCUGGGCUGGUUGGCUGAGAGUAGAAGAAUUUUUUUGCUGAAUACUGGCACUUCUGGUGAGUCUAAGGUCCUGAUCUUUUAACUCUCCGACGUUCAUCAGCCCCUGGUGUUCCUCACGGUGCCAUCUUCUGAUGUGUUUGUGGAGGUAAAUUUGAGAUGUAAAGGAAAGGGUACACCAGGAGCAGGAGAAGGUGUGUAAUAUUUAGAACCUCAGUCUGGGCCAAAUCUUCAUCUUCCAACAUGAUAACAACCUUGAGCCCUCAGCCAAAACAACACAGGAGUGGCUUAUGGAUGACCCUGGGAAUGUGCUGGAGUGUCUGAAUACUGGACAUGUGAUAUUCUGAUAUGUUCUAAUUUAUAUUAAAAAUACAUUUUAAAAAUG